AGUGGAUGGGGAGCAACCUAGUUGUGCGUGUGUAAAGGUAGUGCCAAGAAAAGCGGUGAUCAUGAUGAAAAUCAAUUCCCGGUACCCGAAACCGACACAGGUGGGCAAGUAGAGAAUACUAAGGGGCGCGAGGUAACUCUCUCCAAGGAACUCGGCAAAAUGACCCCGUAACUUAGGGAGAAGGGGUGCCACCGAGAGGUGGUCGCAGUGAAGAGGCCCAGGCGACUGUUUAGCAAAAACAUAGGUCUCUGCAAACUCGAAAGAGGAGGUAUAGGGGCUGACGCCUGCCCAGUGCCGGAAGGUUAAAGAAGUUGGUCAGUCUUAGGAUAAAGCUAGCGACUGAAGCCCCGGUGAACGGCGGCCGUAACUAUAACGGUCCUAAGGUAGCGAAAUUCCUUGUCGGGUAAGUUCCGACCCGCACGAAGGGCGUAACGAUCUGGGCGCUGUCUCGGAGAGAGGCUCGGCGAAAUAGGAUUGUCUGUGAAGAUACGGACUACCUGCAUUUGGACAGAAAGACCCUAUGAAGCUUUACUAUAGCUUGGAAUUGUGUUCGGGCUUCCUGUGCGCAGGAUAGGUGGGAGGCGAAGAAGGUAUUCUUGUGGGGAUACUGGAGCCAACGGUGAGAUACCACUCUCAGGAGGCUAGAAUUCUAACUUAAUUAAGGACAGUUUCAGGUGGGUAGUUUGACUGGGGCGGUCGCCUCCAAAAAGGUAACGGAGGCGUACAAAGGUUCCCUCAGACUGGUUGGAAAUCAGUCGCAGAGUGCAAAGGCAGAAGGGAGCUUGACUGCGAGAAGUACAGUUCGAGCAGGGUGGAAACACGGUCUUAGUGAUCCGACGGUGCUGUGUGGAAGGGCCGUCGCUCAACGGAUAAAAGUUACUCUAGGAUAACAGGCUGAUCUCCCCCAAGAGUUCACAUCGACGGGGAGGUUUGGCACCUCGAUGUCGGCUCAUCGCAACCUGGGGCGGAAGUACGUCCCAAGGGUUGGGCUGUUCGCCCAUUAAAGCGGUACGUGAGCUGGGUUCAGAACGUCGUGAGACAGUUCGGUCCAUAUCCGAUGUAGGCGUGAGAAUAUUGAGAGGAGCCUUCCUUAGUACGAGAGGACCGGGAAGGACGCACCGCUGGUGUACCUGUUAUGAUGCCAAUUGUAAACGCAGGGUAGCCAAGUGCGGAGAGGAUAACCGCUGAAAGCAUCUAAGUGGGAAGCCCACCUCAAGAUGAGUAUUCUGGUGUAAGGUCACGGGAAGACGACCCGUAAAUAGGCACGAGGUGGAAGUGCAGAGAUGUAUGAAGCCGAAGUGUACUAAUAGACCGUCGGCUUGACC
rnacentral:rRNA from 1 species